GGCGAACGCUGGCGGCGUGCUUAACACAUGCAAGUCGAACGGAAAGGCCCUGCUUUUGUGGGGUGCUCGAGUGGCGAACGGGUGAGUAACACGUGAGUAACCUGCCCUUGACUUUGGGAUAACUUCAGGAAACUGGGGCUAAUACCGGAUAGGAGCUCCUGCUGCAUGGUGGGGGUUGGAAAGUUUCGGCGGUUGGGGAUGGACUCGCGGCUUAUCAGCUUGUUGGUGGGGUAGUGGCUUACCAAGGCUUUGACGGGUAGCCGGCCUGAGAGGGUGACCGGCCACAAUGCGAUUGGGUCACGGCCCGCAGCCGUACGGUAGGCACCAGUGUGGUAUAUUGUACCAUGGGCGGACGCGCGACCAAGCAACGCCGCGUGCGGGAUCACGGCCUUCGCGUUGUAAACCGCUUCCGGCUAUGAAGAAGCGUGAGUUACUUUACCGGGUAUAGCCGCACCGGCUAACUACGUG
rnacentral:rRNA from 1 species